rnacentral:rRNA from 1 species
GACGAACGCUGGCGGCGUGCUUAACACAUGCAAGUCGAACGGAAAGGCCCUGCUUUUGUGGGGUGCUCGAGUGGCGAACGGGUGAGUAACACGUGAGUAACCUGCCCUUGACUUUGGGAUAACUUCAGGAAACUGGGGCUAAUACCGGAUAGGAGCUCCUGCUGCAUGGUGGGGGUUGGAAAGUUUCGGCGGUUGGGGAUGGACUCGCGGCUUAUCAGCUUGUUGGUGGGGUAGUGGCUUACCAAGGCUUUGACGGGUAGCCGGCCUGAGAGGGUGACCGGCCACAUUGGGACUGAGAUACGGUCCAGACUCCUACGGGAGGCAGCAGUGGGGAAUAUUGCACAAUGGGCGGAAGCCUGAUGCAGCAACGCCGCGUGCGGGAUGACGGCCUUCGGGCUGUAAACCGCUUUCGCCUGUGACGAAGCGUGAGUGACGGUAAUGGGUAAAGAAGCACCGGCUAACUACGUG